AAACACCAAUCUGGGUGUUGCUGUGAAGAUAUUUCGUAGAUGUGACUAAUGUCCCUGGUGGGUUGACUCUAAGUCAGCAAACUUAUCCUAGAUUCAGGGGCCUGAUUCAAUCAGUAAAGAGCUUUCUGAGCAGAACUGAAGGUUCCCCGAGGAGGAACCAAAUCUGCCAGUGGACAGCAGCUUCCUCUGAUGCCUGGGCAUUCCUGCUUGCCUUUCCAGAAGGCCCACUGUAUGGCCUUCAGAUUCUCCUAACUAGCCCCACAAUUAGGUAAAAUCACUCACAGAAGUCAAAUAUCUUAAAUAGAGCUCGGGGUGGGUGUACUCAUGGGGAGGAGGCCGGACCUGCUCUUCCUCGCCUGCCUGGGGCUCCAGUGAGUCACCCUGAGAAGUGGCCACCAAGGUCAUGCUGUGUGGUGAUUGAUAGCAUGGACUGUGCCUGAGUUUGACGCCCAGUCAAAUACGUGAUGCUCCCCAUUACCAAGGGCCUUCCCCUUCCUCUGACCAAGAGCAUGAAGGGGUUUCUGGGGAAAAUGAUGCUUGUGACCUCCCCAUUCAUUAGACUCUGGCUGAAACAAAAGGGAAUGAGAGGAAACUAUGACUUUUAAGUCAAAGAGUAAAGGCAACACGGACCACAACAGUUGGAACAGCCCUCCCAGGCCCCUUCUGCAGUGGGCACUGUGGCUGGGCCACAGCAUCCUGACUCCUCAUCAUCCACGGACUCAGGACUCCUCAAGGACAACAGGUGGAUUAGGUCAGAUGACGGAAUCUACACUUGGAAAGAAACACCUGCAGUUCACUGAAAGAAUGACCUAAUCACUACCGGCUCACAACAAACUACAGAGUGUGGUUCUGUUAGAACUCAGUCCCUCCUCACCAGGGACCUCGUGAAGCCCUCUGGCAGGAGCAGCCAAGGGAAGCAUCUCCAGCCUAGGUUAGCUGCCAUCCUUUUCUGGUCCAUGUUCCCUGUCAUUGCGGACCUUUGCUACUUCCUGCGCUGUUUUCCCUCCAGCCCAGCUGGGCCCAGGCAGGGCGCCCUGGGAGUCGGCGUUUCCACACCAUCUGCACAUGGGAUGAGAUUCUUGGUCUCUCUGCAGGUUUACACCUUGGGGGCAGAGCUCUCAGCAAGUAUGCUUCUACACUCUGGUAACCCUUCUUCCUAAUUCGCUUCUGUCCAAGUCAGAUAUUGGCCCUGGGGAGGUUUGUAUCUCUCAUGAUCAAUUGUCUUAAAUGUCUUUGAGAGUUUUCUGUUCCCUAGGGAAUGGCUUCUCUCUCCCGCCACCAUUGCAUGCUCCUCACUCAUGAAGUGGCCCUCUGCACUUUGGUGAUCUCUGGCUUUGAGCCGGAAAGGAAUAGCUGCUGCCCACUGUCCAGAUAUCACUGCCUUCUAUGUAGCAAACACUCCUGUUGGCUCUAGCAUCCGGGGCUUUAGGGUCACUAUUUUGUGCCCACCAUGUGUGGGCUUCGCGAAGAUGACUAAGGAAAAAUGGGCUUCUUGUCGUAGCUAUUGGCGUAACUACCAUUUAUUGAGCAUAUACUAUGUUCCAGGCAUUAUGCUAAGCAGCUUACAUAUAUUAUCUCUAGUCCUGGUGGCAAACCUAUUUUAUAGAUGUGGAAACUGAGUCUGAGAGAAGUUGUAUAACUUGUCCUGGCUCACACAGAUGGGAAGUGGCAGAGAUGGGACUUGAAUCCAAGCCUGCAUACAGAAGACCAGACUCUUUCCUUUCCACCAUUCUUCCAGUCACUCAACAAACAUUUACUGAGUCACCGACCAUCUCCCAGACAUGUUCUUUUGACGACAUCCUUCAUCCUAACUCUCUUGAUCUGUGACAACGAAGAGUUCCUCAAGUCCACCACAAGGAAAAAGUCUAGAACAGCAAAGAAAAGGAAAACAAAAUUACCUAUCUGUGUGUUAAUUUGAAGUUUGCUAAUCACCAGGAGAAAAUAAAAACCAGGUGAGAAUUACUGUGUCAA